rnacentral:lncRNA from 1 species
UUGACAGAUAUUCUCCUUUCCUUCUGAAUGUCUAGGUUUUAAAACAUAUAAGCCCUGAUGGGCUGAGAGAAUUUCUGAAAAUGUUUUCUUAACUCAGUUUCAUCAGCAUUUGGAGCCGUUGUAAUUCCCUUGGUGGAGUUUUCCUCUGUACUACAGGACACUUAAGCAGAAGCAUGGUUUCAACUUAAUAGACACUGGUACACGUCUUCUUCCAUGAGUAUAAUAAACAGAAUUGUCAGCAGAGCUUAUGAGUGUCCUCUGAGGAAUGAAGUCUACCAUCAAGCGUCACUCUUUAGGGGAGAUCCUACAUCACAGAGGUGGUCUCUGGACAAAGCUAGGGCAUCAAGAACUACAUUGAAAAAGUUGAAAGAAGGGGGAUUGAAUAAUUUAAAUAUCAAAGUGUCCAGAAAACUUGUGCAUAUGAAACAAGAAGAGAAACAACUGAUAA